AAUAGAUACCCAGGUAGUCCACGCCGUAAACGGUGGGCACUAGGUGUGGGCGACAUUCCACGUCGUCCGUGCCGCAGCUAACGCAUUAAGUGCCCCGCCUGGGGAGUACGGCCGCAAGGCUAAAACUCAAAGGAAUUGACGGGGGCCCGCACAAGCGGCGGAGCAUGUGGCUUAAUUCGACGCAACGCGAAGAACCUUACCAAGGCUUGACAUACACCGGAAACGUCCAGAGAUGGGCGCCCCCUUGUGGUCGGUGUACAGGUGGUGCAUGGCUGUCGUCAGCUCGUGUCGUGAAAUGUUGGGUUAAGUCCCGCAACGAGCGCAACCCUUGUCCCGUGUUGCCAGCAGGCCCUUGUGGUGCUGGGGACUCACGGGAGACCGCCGGGGUCAACUCGGAGGAAGGUGGGACGACGUCAAGUCAUCAUGCCCCUUAUGUCUUGGGCUGCACACGUGCUACAAUGGCCGGUACAAUGAGCUGCGAUACCGCGAGGUGGAGCGAAUCUCAAAAAGCCGGUCUCAGUUCGGAUUGGGGU
rnacentral:rRNA from 1 species